CGUAGUCAACCUACCCAACAGUGGGGAAUAACCCCUCGAAAGAGGAGCUAACACCGCAUACGCUCUCAGUCGUUGGACUAAGAGGAAACCUUGGUAGUGAAAUACCUGGGGCUGAUGGAUGGGACUGCGGCGGAUUAGCUAGAUGGUGGGGUAACGGCCUACCAUGGCGACGAUCCGUAGCUGGUCUGAGAGGACGACCAGCCACACUGGGACUGAGACACGGCCCAG
rnacentral:rRNA from 1 species